CUUCCACUCAGCUAGGCUAACCGAAAUAAGACUUUGGGGAGAGAUCGUUCUCAUAUCGUUCAUAACGUGGACAAGGGUUUCCAGAACUGGACCAAUGCUUGGUCGGUUUGACCGAUGGUUGGCCAGAGACAACACAAGUAACGUAUAUUUGAAGCGGCGAAGCGUGUUGAGAUGUUGUUUUGUUACUGACUAUACACAACCUUGCGUGUAACCUCCCGCGCUGUCUCUCUCUGGUAAACUGCGGAUAUCCAUGACCUAUCAAAACCACAUGGCUUGUUUAACUUAAACGAACAGUGUUGCGUGACGUCACUAGCUCGGUUCAACAGGGUAAAUACAGUAUGAACAGAGCGCAAGCAUCGUGCAGCCUCCAUAGGUAAACAUGCAAGAAAUGGAUGCAUGUCAGUUUCAGAGCAACAUGGCAAAUGCAUCAUACGUGUGACGAAAGGGACACCUAAAGGUAAGCCUACAGACCCGGCCUCUCGGGAUUGCUACAGCUGUUUCGGGGCAAUAACAGAAACAGCAAAAAAACUAUAUACAAAUACCAGAAAAUUACUGCUGAGCUCUAGAGAGAAAUGCCGAACAUCAAAGUACAGUUUUAGACCCCAAGUUCGUUUUACGAUCAACGUGUAUGCUGCGGCAUUUUCCCGACACCGGGCCUGUUACUGCCUGGCCGUGUACAGCUGGCGCACAUAUGUGCAUGUGGCUAUUUUUUUAACGAAAUUUUGAUAUUUUAAAUUGAAAAUUUUACGGCAAAUGCACCAAGGAUUCUGGUACUGUGUCGUAAACACGCUUCCCAUUUUGCUGUGUCGGAAAACGCCAUAUAAUGAGUGCAAGAAAUUGUGGGCAUUUCUGUUAUUUGGAAUACAGUUACUUUCGUUCUUUGAAGUGACAGUUGGAAAAUGUAACACACAUGAUAUGGUUCUCGAACAACAGAGCCGAGAUGGAAAAAACAGACUACAUCUUCUCCCUAACUGUAUAGUCAAUCAGCGACGUUUUGUGUAGACUGAGAGGCUGUUCGGGAGAAAUUCUUCUCGAAAACUUAAACGACUGACGGUACAAAAACUAUCAACAAUCUCUCAGAAGUUUUAAGGAUAUUUCCGAAGAGA